rnacentral:rRNA from 1 species
UGAUAAUAUAAUCAUAUAAAGCAAUUCCUGCCCGGUGAAAAUUAAACGGCCGCGGUAUCCUAACCGUGCAAAGGUAGCAUAAUCACUUGCCUAUUAAUUGUAGGCUAGAAUGAAAGGAUUAACGAAAUAAGGACUGUCUCUAUCACAUAUCUAAAAGUUACUAUCUACUUGAAGAAUCGUAGAUAAGUUCGUUGGACAAGAAGACCCUAUAGAGCUUCAUUUAAAAACAAGUGAAAUUGUUCUAAAAUUCGGUUGGGGCGACCAAGGAAAUAUUAAUCACCCUAUAGUAUUAAAGAUUUAUUAAUCUAAAAAUUGACCCUUAUAAAGAUCAAAAAAUCAAGUUACCUUAGGGAUAACAGGCUAA